GACGAACGCUGGCGGCGUGCUUAACACAUGCAAGUCGAACGGAAAGGCCCUGCUUUUGUGGGGUGCUCGAGUGGCGAACGGGUGAGUAACACGUGAGUAACCUGCCCUGGACUGUGGGAUAACUUCAGGAAACUGGGGCUAAUACCGGAUAGGAGCUCCUGCUGGAGGGGGGGGGUUGGAAAGUUUCGGCGGUUGGGGAUGGACUCGCGGCUUAUCAGCUUGUUGGUGGGGUAGUGGCUUACCAAGGCUUUGACGGGUAGCCGGCCUGAGAGGGUGACCGGCCACAUUGGGACUGAGAUACGGCCCAGACUCCUACGGGAGGCAGCAGUGGGGAAUAUUGCACAAUGGGCGGAAGCCUGAUGCAGCAACGCCGCGUGCGGGAUGACGGCCUUCGGGUUGUAAACCGCAUUCGCCUGUGACGAAGCGUGAGUGACGGUAAUGGGUAAAGAAGCACCGGCUAACUACGUG
rnacentral:rRNA from 1 species